UACGUAGGGUGCAAGCGUUGUCCGGAAUUAUUGGGCGUAAAGAGCUUGUAGGCGGUUUGUCGCGUCUGCUGUGAAAUUUCGGGGCUCAACCCCGAACUUGCAGUGGGUACGGGCAGGCUAGAGUGUGGUAGGGGAGACUGGAAUUCCUGGUGUAGCGGUGAAAUGCGCAGAUAUCAGGAGGAACACCGAUGGCGAAGGCAGGUCUCUGGGCCACUACUGACGCUGAGAAGCGAAAGCGUGGGGAGCGAACAGG
rnacentral:rRNA from 1 species